rnacentral:rRNA from 1 species
GAUGAACGCUGACAGAAUGCUUAACACAUGCAAGUCGAUGGGGAAGUGGUGCUUGCACCAUGGUAACCAUGGCGGACGGGUGAGUAACGCGUAAGGAACUUACCUGCGGGACCGGGAUAACAGCAGGAAACUGCUGACAAGACCGGAUAAGGUCAUUAAGCUGCAUAGCUUAGUGAUGAAAGGAGACGCCUGCGGAGAGCCUUGCGUCCUAUUAGCUAGUUGGAGGGGUAACGGCCCACCAAGGCGAAGAUAGGUAGCCGGCCUGAGAGGGUGGACGGCCACAAGGGGACUGAGAUACGACCCUUACUCCUACGGGAGGCAGCAGUGGGGAAUAUUGCACAAUGGGGGCAACCCUGAUCCAGCAAUUCUGUGUGCACGAAGACGGUUUUCGGAUUGUAAAGUGCUUUCAGCAGGGAAGAAGGAAGUGACGGUACCUGCAGAAGAAGCGACGGCUAAAUACGUG